rnacentral:rRNA from 1 species
UGAAUACGAGAUGCUACGGCAUCGAAGCAGUCUAUGUCAUACUUCCAAGAAAAGCUUGCACUGUCAUAAACAAAUAAUGCCUGUACCAUAACCGACACAGGUGGGUAGGUAGAGUAUACUAAGGGGCGCGAGAUAACUCUCUCUAAGGAACUCGGCAAAAUGACUCCGUAACUUCGGGAGAAGGAGUGCCUUAUUUUAUAAGGUUGCAAUAACAAGAUCCAAGCAACUGUUUACCAAAAACACAGGUCUCCGCUAAGUCGUAAGACGAUGUAUGGGGGCUGACGCCUGCCCAGUGCCAGAAGGUUAAAGAAGUUGGUUAGCAUUAGCGAAGCUGAUAACUGAAGCCCUGGUGAACGGCGGCCGUAACGAUAACGGUCCUAAGGUAGCGAAAUUCCUUGUCGGGUAAGUUCCGACCCGCACGAAAGGCGUAAUGAUUUGGAUACUGUCUCGGAGAGGGGCUCGGUGAAAUAGACUUGUCUGUGAAGAUGCGGACUACCUGCACCAGGACAGAAAGACCCUAUGAAGCUUUACUGUAACUUGAGAUUGAAAUUGGACUUUAUUUGCGCAGUAUAGGUGGGAGACGUUGAAAAUAUUCUUGCGGGAAUAUUGGAGUCAUCAGUGAGAUACCACUCUUAUAAUGUUAGAUUUCUAACUUUGUAUCAUUAUCUGGUCAAAGAACAGUCUCAGGCGGGCAGUUUGACUGGGGCGGUCGCCUCCCAAACGGUAACGGAGGCGCACAAAGGUUUCCUCUGAACGUGUAGAAAUCGUAUCUAGAGUGUAAAGGCAUAAGGAAGCUUGACUGUGAGACCUACAAGUCGAGCAGGGACGAAAGUCGGUCUUAGUGAUCUGACGGUGCUGAGUGGAAAGGCCGUCACUCAACGGAUAAAAGUUACUCUAAGGAUAACAGGCUGAUCUCCCCCAAGAGUUCACAUCGACGGGGAGGUUUGGCACCUCGAUGUCGGCUCAUCGCAUCCUGGGGCGGUAGUACGUCCCAAGGGUUGGGCUGUUCGCCCAUGAAAGCGGUACGCGAGCUGGGUUCAGAACGUCGUGAGACAGUUCGGUCCAUAUCCGGUGUAGGCGUUAGAAUAUUGAGAGGAGCCUUCUUUAGUACGAGAGGACCGAGAAGGACAUACCUCUGGUGUACCAGUUAUCGUGCCAACGGUAAACGCUGGGUAGCUAUGUAUGGAGAGGAUAACCGCUGAAAGCAUCUAAGUGGGAAGCCCACCUCAAGAUAAGUAUUCUC